UACGUAGGGUGCAAGCGUUGUCCGGAAUUAUUGGGCGUAAAGAGCUCGUAGGCGGUCUGUCGCGUCGGCUGUGAAAACUCGGGGCUCAACUCCGAGCUUGCAGUCGAUACGGGCAGGCUAGAGUUCGGCAGGGGAGACUGGAAUUCCUGGUGUAGCGGUGAAAUGCGCAGAUAUCAGGAGGAACACCGGUGGCGAAGGCGAUCACCUGGGGUUGUUCUGACGCUGAGGAGCGAAAGCUAGGGGAGCAAACGGG
rnacentral:rRNA from 1 species